AAUGCGCACCAGUCCGCGACAGUCUCGCGCAAACCAUCGAGUUGAGCGGCAGGUUCUCGACGCGUCGUCGGUUUCUCCUGGUCUACCUUUAUGAUCGUCAUUAAUUGGCAUACCUCGUCGGAAACUAAUGUUCAAAGUUUUGUCGCGCUGAACGCUGUUUCGUGUGAUAUUAGGUCGUGUGUAUUCGUUUCUCUCGUGUAUCCAUUUUAACUUUCAAUUAGUUUCGAUCACUGCGGAGUAAUUUCACGUGAUUUACAGGCUCUUCAGUAAUCUAGGCAUCAUUCUGUUUACUGUUCAUGAUUUACACGAUAUGAUAUGACCCAGUCCCGCGAGGUUUUGGCGAUGAUGGACGCACACACAACAACGUUCGGACGUAAAAGAGGCUGCACAGUCACUCCUUGUGGCGCUUUCCUUUUUGGUGCUGCCUUCCUUAUAUCUUUGGUCGCGACAGGGCUUCUGGUCUAUCAUCUUGCGCCAUGCCUCGAGGAAGAGCUCGUUAAACCAUGCGGUGAUUUCAGUAAUUCAGUAUUCGGGGGUCGUGAUCUGUCUAAUAAGGACACACAUAACAAAAAAAAAUUGGACGUCCGAUUACCAAGAUCUGUGGUGCCAGAUUCAUACGAGUUGAAGCUAAUACCGUUCAUACAAGUGGGAAAUUUUACUUUCCAUGGCGAGAUGCGCCGAGCGCUUCAUAAAUUUGCAGCAACCCUACAAGGAGCUUUCCUGAACCGCAUGUGCACUGCUGUACAUUGUAAAACCGGAGGCGAACCUUGUGAUACAGAUAUGUACAAAGGGUCUGUGUCAAGAACCAUGGCAAUUUAGCAUGGCGCAGCUUGGACGGGCUGCGCUUGGAUUGGCUUAAAUUAACCUCAGUGGAUCUUCAGCUUAAUUUAGUAUACUUCAUUG
rnacentral:lncRNA from 1 species